rnacentral:lncRNA from 1 species
AGUGUGAGACGUGUAGCUAGGGCUGUGCACUCCACAGAGCUGGUGGGAGCUGGGAAUAGGUGAAAACCCUGCCUCCUUGUGAGUUGGCAGGACGGGAGCCUCCUGUUCCCUGGCUGCUGUUGUGGCCACCGAGCCGCAGCCCUGGAGCCAGGCAUCCCUGUGCUUGGGGAUCAGAGCGAGCAGGAGCAGAUCCUCUCCCUUCUGGGUGCAGCUGCAGCUGCCCAGCCAUGGCUGUGGUCCCGGAAGUCUCUGUGCUCUUGGGAGCUGGGAGGGCCCUCUGCCUCCUGCCCCUUACGCACUCCAGAGUCUCCUCUCUGUUGAGAGCUAAGCAGACAUCAGGACUACCAGCUGCAGAGAGGAGCUACCCACUGUGGGCUUCGUCUCUGCUGAGAGCUGAACACUCACUGGGACGCCCUGCCUAUGGAAACCAGCUGUUCACUCUGGGUCUCCUCUGAGCUGUUCUGUCGCUCAGUAAAGGUCUUCUUCUGCUUACUCGCCCUCCAUUUGUCUGCCUUACCUCAUUCAUCCUGGACACAGGACAAGAACUUGGGACUUGCCGGUAUGGUGGAGCUAAAAUAGCUGUAACACAAACAGGAUUGAAACAUGCCCCUUGCUCGCCACAUUGUGGAUGACAAGAGGGAGGGAAGAAAGGAGAGAAGAUCUGCGACCCUUCGGCAAACCCAGACUUAGGAGAUCGGAGAGCCAAGACUGUGACACCCUUUCUGGGGCUCUGUGGUUCCUGGCGUCUCCAAGCUUCUGGGCACCUCGGCUUUCCCCGGUGCCAGUCGUGGAAGCUGCUUGUGCAGAGUCUUGCUUUGUCACCCAGGCUGGAGUACAGUGGCGUGAUCACAGCUUACUGAAACGUCUGCGUCUCAGGUUCAAGCGAUUUUUCUGCCUCAGCCUCUGGUGUAGCUGGAAUUACAGUGUUAGCAGUCACUGAUGCUCAAACGUUAUUAUAAUAUGAAACUCGAAUCUAUGUUUAGCAAACGGAAAAAAAGAACAUUUAAAUCUAAUGAAGAUCAAGAACAAUAAUCUUAGGUUAUGCAGACCUCCUUGAUGGCAUCCAGAAGUCUGAUCAGAGGAGGGAUGGACACAGCUUUGACUAGGAGAUCUCACCUCCCGCAUACCGACCUUACUCAUAAAAGCUUCUGGUUAUGUUCAAAGGCAAGUCGGAUUUGAGAAUUUGCCUCUCGCACUCUCUCAUUUUGGCCAAAUCAAAUAAUGCCUUUCUCUCUUCCUAAGCGCUGAUGUAUCAGUGUUUGGCUUAUUGUGCAUUGGGUACUCAAACUUAAAUUUGGGGGUUUUGUAACAAUUUCACUCUUCUGCAAUCAAUUGAAAUAAAUUUUCUCCUUUGAUUUCUGUUUGUUCUUUCACUCACCUGCAAUGAUUCUACCAGAAAUGUUUUAAUCAGUAAAGAUAUAGCUUGAAUUUUUAUACUUAACCCAAAUUUACAUGUCAAAAUAAAAAAUGAAAACAAUAAAAAAAACUAUGCAUGCCUCUCCAUCUACACAUUAAUGGCAAAAGUGCAAGAUAUAGAAAGCAUGGCUUGAGUGCUGUGUGUGUACUGAUUAUUUCAUACAUAUGUACUCUUUAAACUUUAUCUAUGUAGAGAAAUAAAUUCUAAGAUUACUGCUCUUUCUCAAAUAAUAAAAAGCUCAAGAACUGCUAAUCACAGGAAUAAAAAAAUCCCUAUAUAAUAUUUCAUUAGUGAUAUUUUCAGCCCGAGUGCUUCUAUUACCUAUAUUUUUUGGUAAGUAUAUUUUUAUAUAGUUAUUUACGGAAUAUCUGAUUUACUAUAAUAAUAAAUUUGUGUUAACAAAAAGUUUAAAUAUUGAAUGCAUUAAAUAAAAUCUAGUUACUUGUCUAGGAAAUUUUCAAAGCAAAACUUACUCAAAUAUUAGUUGACAUUGUGAAAAUAGUUCUGAACAUAAUGUCUCAGACAUAACAUAAAACUUUUUAAAUGAAAGCGAGAAUUUAUGUCUAACAUGUAAAAUAAAUUGUGUCAGUAUUAGAAUAGUAUUUUGACCUUGAACAGAAAUAUAUCUGUAAUAAUCAUCACUAUGUUGCCAAAAUGAGAGAAAAUAACACUAUAUAAAUACUUAAUCAAACAGUGCUUUAUCUUUUCAUCUAAUAAUAUAGAUAUACCCCUAAAAUUUACCAUUCUAAGAAUGUGUACAUGAUGUAUUACUAGCCAUAUAAAAAUAAUUGUGGUGGGCAUUUUUGAGGGGUCGUUUUAGAACUUUUCAAAAUUCCCCUGAGAAUAUUUUGUUAGAAUAGGUGCCAUAUAUUUUUAGAAUCUUGAUUUGGGAGCAAUUUCAAUAUAAGUAUUUCUAGUUAUUUAAAACGAAUAAUUUUAAAAAGAACAGCAGUAAGGCAAGAAAUAAAAGGUUAAAAACUUUUAGAUUUUUAUUUAAGACAGUUAAUGUACAUUACAGUCACAUAGCACGUAAUGAAGUUUCAGUCAAUAAUCCACUGCAUAUAGGAUGGUGGUUCCAUAAGAUUGUAAUGGAGCUGUAAAAUUUCUGCCCUCUAGUGAUGCUGUAGCCAUCACAACUUCAUAGGACGACACAUUACUUACAUGUUUGUGGUGAUGCUGGUGUAAAUGAACCUACCUUCAUAAAUGUAUAGCACAUAUAAUUAUGUAUAGUAUGUAAUACUUAAUAAUGAUUAUAAACUACCAUGUUACUGGUUUAUGUAUUUACUCUACUAUACUUUUAUAGUUAUUUUAGGUAUUCCUUCUACUUAAAAAAUAAAAAUAAAGUUAAGUGUAAAAGAUCCUCAGGCUGGUUCCUUAGGGAGAUAUUCCAGAAGAAAGCAUUGUUAUCAUAGGAGAUGACAGCUCCACACAUGUUGUCCAACAUGACCUUUCAGUGGGCAAGAUGUGGAGGUUGAAGACAAUGAUAUUGAUGAUCCCGAUUCUGUGUAGGCCCAGUCUAACAUGUGUGUUUGUGUUUUCAUUUUUAACAAAAUGUUUUAAAAGUAAAGAAAAUAACAAUUAAAAUUGAGGCGGGUGGAUCAUCUGAGGUCAGGAGUUUGAGAGCAGCCUGGCCAACAUGGCAAAACCUCGUCUCUACUAAAAAUACAAAAAAAAAAAAAAAAAAAAAAAUUAGCCAGGUGUGGUGGCAUGCACCUAUAGUCCCAGCUACUCAUGAGACUGAGGCAGGAGAAUCACUUCAAUCCAGGAGGAUGAGGUUGCAGUGAGCCGAGGUCCACCAUUGCACUCCAGCCAGGCUAACGAGCUAAACUACAUCAAAAAAAAAAAAAAAAAAAAAAAAAAAAAAGAAAGAAGGAAGGAAGGAAGGAAGGAAGGAAGGAAGGAAAAAGAGAAGGAAAAAACAGAAAAAAACUUAUAGAACAAGGAUCUAAUGAAAAAAAUGCAUUGUUAACAUGCCUCUCCCACAUAGAAAGACAAACUAAUGUGUAGAGUCUCACACUAUGAACUUUUUUCCAAAAAGAGAUUCAGGAACUUAGAAAAACUAAAAGAAACCCCAGACUCUUUGAAAAAAAAAAAAAAAAAGCUGCAGGCUGCAUGCUAUACUGUGAGCCUGGUGGAAAACUGUAAGUUCCCAGAAUCUGAGAGGGAGAUGAACUACCUCCAGGUUAUAUACUUCCAGCAGGGAACCUGGCAACCCAGGCCACGAGGGAAGGCCUUAACCCUACCCAGCUCUGGAACUGAUUUAGGAAGCAAUGGGGAAUAUAAAAGUAGGUACGGCUACUGGAAGAGCCUUGCGUGCAUUCCCAGUCUCCAGUGUAGUUGGAGGGAGACCGUUUCUGACUCUACCUCAUAGGAGACCUCAGGGAAGUCUGCCAGCUAAAUAAGGCGGUGGUAACAGCUUAAGAGAAGCUCCCAGCUAAAAUUCACAAUAUAAUUGAGUGCUCAUGAACUCCCUUGGCCAGAACCAGGGGGUGAGUGGGAAGUGUGUUGCAGCUACUGUGAUGGAGCUGGGUGCCAUUGCUUAACAGUUGGUCAAGGAGGAGCAUGAUCUGAAAGUCAGGCUUAUGGCCUGGGACAGUUUUGAUUUCUAAGUGCAGAAUGCCUGGAAUUUAGCUAGCUGUAGCUAGCAGAACACUACAGGGGUGAGACCUGCCUUGCCAACUACAUGAGAGCUGGGUGAGGCUUACUGUUGUCUGCUACUCCACACUCCCUAUGUAAACUGUGCAACAAAGGCAGCCUUGCUUCCCCCUAGAACAUUAUCCCAGCAGCCAGAGAAUCAUCAACAAAUCCCCACAGGGGCUAUUGCUUGUCCCAUGCACGGAAAGACAGAAUACGGACCUAUCUGAUCCAGCCCCCACCUGGCUUUGCCCCUGAGCCUGCCCUGGUAGUUUACCACAACAGACAGAAACUUUUGGGAGCUCUAUGUCCCUGGUCAUUCCUUGAGAAUCCAGAAUAACUCCCUAGGUAACAUAAGGCAAACACAAAUCGCACUGUUACCAUCAUAACUGGCACUCUUUUGCAACUGUCAUCUUCUGGCUGGAGGUCAGCUGGCACAGUUCAUUAUGUCAUCUCCAGGCAGAUUAAUGCAGUGCUCAAGAAGGAGAAAAUUUGUGCAUAACCUCAGCUAUCAUCAUUGCCUUCAACACCCUGGCUAACCAGGAGGUCCUGAGUCUUUCCACAUGACCAGUUAAUUCCUACUACAACCAGCAUUGGAGAAAUCCAACACACUAAGGCUAUUUAUAACCAAGGAAUCUCACAGGGUCUAUGUCACUAACCUGUCACCUCCAUCAGAGCUGGUGUUGGUACCCACUGCUGUGGGUACCUGCAGCUCUAUCCAAAUAGUCAGGCAGCCCUGAUACUUGUGAGACGUCUGGGAGAAGGGGACUUCUUUUCCCACUCAUUCAUCACUACAGACACAGCUGGGAAUUCUCUCAUGGGACCUCAGCAUGGGUGUAACUAUAAACAGACUUGAGGACAGGUAACAUCACUGGAUCCCUUGCAGACAUUCCGGAGCAUCCACAUGAAGUGUGGCAGCCCCACUGUACGGCUAGACCCAGAGGAGCAGCAGCAUACACGGUAGAAUAGCUCUCAGGGCUUUCUACUCCUAAGAGAAAGAAGAAUGCACCACAUCAAAGGAACAUUCCAUGGGACAAAACAAUCCAGAUGGCAGGCUUUGAGUCCCAAAAUUUUUCUGCCGGUGGGAAGUUUCUUUUAGUAGAGGCAUAGGUGCAGUGCUGGGCUCAGCGGGGAAUACCUGCAGCUCUAUCCAAAUACUCAGGCAGCCCUGAUACUUGUGAGAGGUCUGGGAGAAGGGGACUUCUUUUCCCACUCAUUCAUCACUACAGACACGGCUGGGACUUCUCUCAUGGGACAUCAGCAUGGGUGUACCUGUAAACGGUCUUUCUGGAACACUUCAAGGCGACUGCAUCACCACCAAAGGAGUGCUCUUCAGAUUCAGGCUUGCAUGAGGGGUAAGGUAACAAUUCCUCUCUAUUUGAAUGUCCUCUCGAUAUUCCUACAGAUGAUAAGAGGUGCCUGUCUGAUCUGAACAGCCAGAAUACUGGGCCAAGAGAAUGACUGUGAUAUGGUUUGGCUCUGUAUCCCCAUCCAAAUCUCAUUUCAAAUUGUAAUCUUCACAUGCUGGGGAGGGGCCUGGUGAGAAGUGAUUGAAUCAUACAGGAGGACUUCCCCCUUGGUGGUCUCCUGACAGUGAGUGAGUUCUCAUGAGAUCUGGUUUGAAAGUGUGUGACACUUACCCCUUUGUGCUCUCUCUCUCUCUGUGUCUCUCUCCUGCUGCCACUGUGAAGAAGGUCCUUGCAUCUCUUCCACCUUCUGCCAUGAUUUUAAGUUUCCUGAGGCCUCACAGUCAUGCUUCCUGUUAAGCCUGUGGAACUGUGAGUCAAUUAAACCUUUUUUCUUCAUGAAUUACCCAGUCUCAGGUAGUUCUUUAUAGCAGUGUAAGGAUGGAUUAAUACAACUAUAAGAUGGAUCACUUUCCUGCUGGCCUGGCAGGAGAGUUGAGGUGGCUCCCACUUUUCCCUCUGAUAAGACCUCAACGUGUUACAUUGGGAGAUCCCUCAGUCACCCUCAAGGCUGUGACCUCUGUCUAUCAUUGCAUAUUGCAUUUACCCACCUGCUUUAGUGACAACUUGUUUCUACCCAGGGACACCUUCCCUACUGGACUGCAGCUUGAACUAUUCAACCUAAUAAAUAAAAUACUGUGGAAAAAUAAAUAAAGUGAAAACCACAAGGGAAUGAGAUAGGCUUCAACAGACCUCUGCCAUUCUAGCUUCAUAGGAGACAGUAAACUUGCUCAUACACCAUCAUCUGAGGAAUCCACAUACACAGACCCUCUAUAACCAAGGAGCUGAUACAGUCUUCACCCCUGAAAACAUCAAUAGCUGAAUUACACCACAAUUAACUAUAAACAUGGAAGUCACAUCCUUAAGGGGAAAAAAGAAAUUAAAAAAAAAAACACAGUCAAUUCAAAAAUAAUUUGAAGAAAUAGUCUACCCAAAUGAGAAGGAGCCAGAAAAAUAAUUCUGGCAAUAUGACAGUAUGUAUGUAACACCUCCAAAAGAUCACAUUACCUCUCAAGCUAUGAAUCUAUAUCAUUGUGAAAUCUUUGACAUACCAGAUAAAGAAUGCAAAAGGUUGAUUAUUAAACUACUCUAUGAGAUAAAAGAGAAAGGUGUACACCAACAUGAAGAAAUUAAAAAUAAUAAUUCAGAAUAUGAAUGAAAACUUCCUAAAGAGUUAGAUAUUUUAACAAUAUCAGAACUUAUGGAAAUGAAAGACACAUUUAGGGAAUUACAGAAUGCAGUAAAAAAUUCCAACAAUAGACUAGAUCAAGUUAAAUAAAGAAUUUCAGAGCUCAAAGACAAGGCUUUGGAAUUAACCCAUCAGAAGAAAAUAAAGAAAAAAGAAUAUAAAGAAAUGCACAGUCUCCAAGAAAUAGGGGAUUAGUAAAAUGGCCACAUCUAAGAAUAACUCAUAUUCCUGAGGGAAAAAAGAAGGCAAAAAGUUGGAAAAAUUUAUUUGGGGGAAUAAUUGAAAAAACUUCUGUGGCCUUGCUAGAGAUUUAGAUAUUCAGAUACAAAAAGCUCCAAGAACUUUUGGGAGAUUUAAUGCAAAAAGACAUUGCCAAGGCAUGUAGUUAUCAGGAUGUCUAAAGUCAACCUGAAAAAAAAAAUCUUUUUUUAAUCAAGGUUUCAGAAAUCGAAUAUAAUAUAUAAUAUUAAAAUCAUUUUAUACAAGAGCAAUGAACAAUAUGAAAUUGAAUUUUUUCAAAUGGUACUUAUAAUAGCAAAAAAUACAAAAUACCUCCAGAUAAAUCUGAUAAAAUAUGUGAAAGUUUCACACAGCUAAAAUUAUAAAACACUAUUAAAAAUUAAUGAUUACCUAAAUAAAUAAAGAUACUUUUUCUGGUAAUACAAUAGAAUGAUAUUUUUAUUUUUGUUUUUGUUUUCAAUUUUACCUUAAGUUCUGGGAUACAUGUGCAGAUCAUGCAGGUUUGUAACAUAGGUAUACAUGUGCCAUGGUGGUUUGCUGUACCCAUUAACCCGGCAUCUAGGUUGUAAGCCCCACAUGCAUUAGGUAUUUGUCCUAAUGCUAUCCCUCCCCUUGACUCCCAUCCCCCAAAAGGCCCCAGUGUGUGAUGUUUCCCUCCCUGUGUUCAUGUGUUCUCACUGUUCAAUGUCCACUUAUGAGUGAGAAAACAUUGUGUUUGGUUUUCUGUUCCUGUGUUAGCUUGCUGAAAAUGAUGGUUUCCAGCUUCAUCCAUGUCCUUGCAAAGGACAUGAACCCACCCUUUUUAUGGCUGCAUAGUAUUCCAUGAUGUAUAUGCACCACAUUUUCUUUAUCCAGUGUAUCAUUGAUGGGCAUUUGGGUUGGCUCAAAUGCUUUGCUAUUGUGAACAGUCCUGCAAUAAGCAUACAUGUGCAUGUGUCUUUAUAGUAGAAUAAUUCGUAAUCCUUUGGAUAUAUACGAAGUAAUGGGAUUACUGGAUCAAAUGGUAUUUCUUGUUCUAGAUCCUUGAGGAUUCGCCACACUGUCUUCCACAAUGGUUGAACUAAUUUACACUCCCACCAACAAUGUGAAAGCAUUCCUAUUUCUCCACAUCCUCUCCAGCAUCCGCUGUUUACUGACUUUUUAAUGAUUGCCAUUCUAACUGGUCUUAGGAGCCAGCCCCUCCUAACCAGCGCGCCUACGCCUCGCCCCCCUGCGAUGGAGGUCCUAAGAGUCAGGGGGGGAAGAGGGGUUGGCACUUACUCCCCGAAACGCGGGGGGCGUCUCGCCUCCCUGCGAUGGGGUUCCUAAGAGCCAGGGGGGAAAGAGGGGCUGGCUCUCAGUCCCCGCCUCUCGGGCUGUGCCUCCCCACCCUGCGAUGGGGGUCCCGAGUGUCGGGGGGGAAGAGAGGCUGGAUCUCAGUCCUCGGCGCGCGGCGGCUGCCUCCCCCCACUGUGAUGGAGGUCCUAUGAGCCAGGGGGGAUGAGGGGCUGGCUCUUACUCCCUGCCUCGCGGGGGGUUCCUCUCGCCUCUGCGAUGGUGAUCCUAAGAGCCAGGCGGGGAAGAGGGGCUGCAACUCAGUCCCCGCCUCGCGGGGUUGCCUCCCCCAGGUGCGAUGUUGGUCCUAAGAGCCAGGGGUGAAGAGGGGCUGGCUCUCUGUCCCCUCGUCGCGGGGGUUGCUUCCCCCCCUGCGAUGGAGGUCCCAAGAGCCAAGGGGGGAAGAGGGGCUGGCUCUCAGUCCCUGCCUCGCGGGGGUGCCUCCCGCCCUGGGAUGGGGAUCCAAAGAGCCAGGGGGGUAAAAAGGGCUGGCUCUCAGUCCCCGCCUCACAGAGGGUGCCUCCCCCCCCCGCGAUGGGAGUCCCAAGAAUCAGGGGGCGAAGAGAGGCUGGCUCUCAGCCACCACAAAAUGGGGGGCCUUUAUGUUCAGGUUUUGCCCAAGAGUCAGCUCAUUUGCUUCUUGUACUAGCAGGGGAGUUGCUGCCAAGGCCCUCAAACAGGGGGGCCAUCCUUUAGAAACCCUGUCUAGUUGUUCAGAGACAUAGGCCACCGGCCUCAUCCAAGGCCCCACAGUUUGGGUUAAAAGUCCACCUGCCAUCUUUUCUCUCUCUGACGCAUACAAUGGAAAAGGUUUUGUCAGAUCGGGUAACCCCAGGGCUGAAGCUGCCAGAAGUUUUUCCUUUAACUCAUGAAAGACUUGCUGUUGUUAGGAUCCCCAUUCCAAAGGUUCCCGGUCCCCGCCCCCUUUGUGACCUCAUACAAAGGCUUGGCUUAUAUUGCAAAGUUUGGGAUCCACAGUCUACAAAACCCCACAGCUCCUGAGAAUUCUCUCGCCUGCCUUUGGCCCUUAGGCUCUGGUAGAUUGCAAAUAACAUGCUUUCUUUCUGUUCCCGGGUGGCUUCGGACCCCUGUCGGAUCGGAAAUCCCAAGUAAGUUACCUGCCCUAGGCAGAUUUGAGCUUUCUUCUUGGACACCUAAUACCCACAGUCCUCCAGGUGUGUCCUAAAGAUCUUAGUAUCUGCAAUGGGGGUCCUAAGGCAGGGGGGGAAGAGGGGCUGGCUCUCACCCACCCCAAAAUGGGUGGCCUUUAUGUUCAGGUUUUGCCCAAGAGUCAGCUUAUUUGCUUCUUCUACUAUCAGGGCAGUUGCUGCCAUGGCCCUCAAACAGGGGGGCCAUCCUUUAGAUACCCUGUCUAGGUGUUUAGAGACGUAGGCCACUGGCCUCAUCCAGGGCCCCACAGUUUGAGUUAAAAGUCCGGCUGCCAUGUUUUCUCUAUCUGAUGCAUUCAAUGGAAAAGGCUUUGUCAGAUCAGGUAGCCCCAGGGCUGGGGCUGCCAGAAGUUUUUCCUUUAACUCAAGAAAGACUUGCUGUUGUUGGGAUCCCGAUUCCAUAGGUUCCCGGUCCCCGCCCACUUUGCGAUCUCAUACAAAGUCUUGGCUAAUACUGCAAAGUUUGGGAUGCACAGUCUACAAAAUCCCACAGCCCCUAAGAAUUCCCUCACAUGCUUUCUGCCCUUAGGCUGCGGUAGAUUGCAAAUGUCCUGCUUUCUUUCUGUUCCCGGGUGCGUUCGGACCCCUGUCGGAUAGUAAAUCCCAAGUAAGGUACCUGCCAUCGGCAGAUUUGAGCUUUCUUCUUGAACACCUAUACCCACAGUCCUCCAGGUGUGUCCUAAAGUUCAUAGGAUCCACGAUGGGGGUCCUAAGCCAGGGGGGGGACCAGGUGCUGGCUCUCAGUCCCUGCCUCGCGGGGUGUGCCUCCCUCUCCGGGAUGGGGAUCCUAAGAGUCUGGGGGGGAAGAGGGGCUGUCUCUCAGUCCCCGCCUCGUGGGGGUGCCUCCCACAGGUGCGAUGUGGGUCCUAAGAGCCAGGGGUGAAGAGGGGCUAGCUCUCAGUCCCCGCCUCGCGGGGGGUGCCUCCUCACCCUGCGAUGGGGGUCCCAAGUGUCAGGGGGGUAUAGGUGCUGGCUCUCAGUCCUCGGCUCGCGGGGGCUGCCUCCCCCCACUGUGAUGGGAGUCCUAAGAGCCAGGGGGGAAGAGGGGCUGGCUCUCAGUCCCCGCCUCGCGGAGGGUGCCUCCCCCCCCACGUGAUGGGGUCCCAAGAGCCAGGGGGGGAAGAGGGGCUGGCUCUCAGCCACUACAAAAUGGGGGGACUUUAUGUUCAGGUUUUGCCCAAGAGUCAGCUUAUUUGCUUCUUGUACUAGCAGGGCAGUUGCUGCCAAGGCCCUCAAUCAGGGGGCCAUCCUUUAGAAACCCUGUCUAGUUGUUUAGAGAAGUAGGCCACCGGCCUCAUCCAGGGCCCAAUAGUUUGGGUUAAAAGUCCACCUGCCAUCUUGUCUCUCUGACGCAUACAAUGGAAAAGGUUUUGUCAGAUCGGGUAGCCCCAGGGCUGAAGCUGCCAGAAGUUUUUCCUUUAACUCAUGAAAGACUUGCUGUUGUUGGGAUCCCCCUUCCAAAGGUUCUCAGUCCUCGCCCCCUUUGUGACAUCAUACAAACUCUUGGCUUAUACUGCAAAGUUUGGGAUCCACAGUCUACAAAACCCCACAGCUCCUGAGAAUUCUCUCGCCUGCCUUCGGCCCUUAGGCUCUGGUAGAUUGCAAAUAACCUGCUUUCUUUCUGUUCCAGGGAGGCGUCGGACCCCGUCCGAUAGUAAAUCCCAAGUAAGGUACCUGCCGUCGGCAGAUUUGAGCUUUCUGCCUGGACACCUAAUACCCACAGUCCUCCAGGUGGGUCCUAAGGUUCUUAGGAUCCACGAUGGGUGUCCUAAGCCAGCGGGGGAAGAGUGGCUGGCUCUCAGUCCCCACCUCGCGGGUGGUGCCUCCCGCCUCUGAGAUGGUGGUCCUAAGAGCCAGGUGGUGAAGAGGGGCUGGAACUCAGUCCCCGCCUCGUGGGGGCUGCCUCGCCCCGCUGCCAUGGGUUUCCGAAGAGCCAGGGGUGGAAGACGGGCUGGCUCUCAGUCCCCGCCUCGCGGGGGUGCCCUCCCCAGGUGCGAUGGGGGUCCUAAGAGCCAGGGGGUGAAGAAGGGCUGUCUCUCUGUCCCCUCGUUGCAGGGUUUGCAUCCCCCCUCUUGAGAUGGCCGUCCCAAGAGCCAAGGGGGGAAAGGGGCUGGCUCUCAGUCCCCGCUUCGCGGGGGUGCCUCCCCCACUGCGAUGGGGGUCCCAAGAUUCGGGGGGGAAGAGGGCCUGGCUGUCAGUACCCGCCUCGCGGGGGGUGCCUUCCCACCCUGCGAUGGGGGUCCCAAGUGUCAGGGGGGGAAUACGGGCUGGCUCUCAAUCCUCGGCUCGCGGGGGCUGCCUCCCCCUACUGCGAUGGGGGUCCUAAGAGCCAGGGGGGAAGAGGGGCUGGUUCUCAGUCCCUGCCUCAUGGGCGGUGCCUCCCGCUCUGCGAUGGGGGUCCUAAGAGCCAGCGGGGGAAGAGGUGCUGGCUCUCAGUUCCUGCCUGGCGGGGGGUGCCUCCCCCCCUCUGCGGUGGGUGUCCUAAGAGCCAGGGGGGGAAGAGGGGCUGGCUGUCAGUCCCCGCCUCGCGGGGUGUGCCUCCCGCCCCUGCGAUGGUGAUCCCAAGAGUCUGGGGGGGAAGAGGGGGCUGUCAGUCCCCGCCUCGCGGGGGUGCCUCCCUCAGGUGCGAUGUGGGUCCUAAGAGCCAGGGGUGAAGAGGGGCUGGCUCUCUGUCCUCUCGUCGCGGGGGUUGCAUCCCCCCCUGCGAUGGGGUUCCCAAGAACCAAGGGGGGAUGAGGGGCUGGCUCUCAGUCCCCGCCUCGUGGGGGUGCCUCCCCCCCUGGGAUGGGGGUCCCAAGAGCCAGGGGGGGAAGAGGGGCUGGCUCUCAGUCCCCGCCUCGCGGAGGGUGCCUCCCCCCCAACGCGAUGGGGGUCCCAAGAGCCAGUGGGGGAAGAGGGGCUGGCUCUCAGCCACCACAAAACGGGGGGCCUUUAUGUUCAGGUUUUGCCCAAGAGUCAGCUUAUUUUCUUCUUGUACUAGCAGGGCAGUUGCUGCCAAGGCCCCCAAACAGGGUGCCAUCCUUUAGAAACCCUGUCUAGUUGUUUAGAGACGUAGGCCACCGGCCUCUUCCAGGGCCCCACAGUUUGGGUUAAAAGUCCACCCGCCAUCUUGUCUCUCUCUGACGUGUACAAUCUAAAAGGCUUUGUCAGAUUGGGUAGCCCCAGGGCUGAAGCUGCCAGAAGUUUUUCCUUUAACUCAUGAAAGACUUGCUGUUGUUGGGAUCCCCAUUCCAAAGGUUCCCGGUCCCCGCCCCCUUUGUGACCUCAUACAAAGGCUUGGCUUAUACUGCAAAGUUUGGGAUCCACAGUCUACAAAACCCCACAGCUCCUGAGAAUUCUCUCGCCUGCUUUCGACCCUUAGGCUCUGGUAGAUUGCAAAUAACCUGCUUUCUUUCUGUUCCCGGGCGGCGUGGGACCCCUGUCGGAUAGUCAAUCCCAAUUAAGGUACCCGCCGUCGGCAGAUUUGAGCUUUCUUCUUGGACACCUAAUACCCACAGUCCUCCAGGUGGGUCCUAAGGAUCUUAGGAUGCGCGAUGGGGGUCCUAAGGCAGGGAGGGAUGAGGGGCUGGCUCUCACCCACCCCAAAAUGGGCAGCCUUUAUGUUCAGGUUUUGCCCAAGAGUCAGCUUAUUUGCUUCUUCUACUAUCAGGGCAGUUGCUGCCACGGCCCUCAAACAGGGGGGCCAUCCUUUAGAAACCCUUUUUAGUUGUUUAGAGACGUAGGCCACCGGCCUCAGCCAGGGCCCCAGAGUUUGGAUUAAAAGUCCAGCUGCCAUCUUUUCUCUAUCUGACGCAUUCAAUGGAAAAGACAUUGUCAGAUCGGGUAGACCCAGGGCUGGGGCUGCCAGAAGUUUUUCCUUUAACUCAUGAAAGACUUGCUGUUGUUGGGAUCCCGAUUCCAUAGGUUCCUGGUCCUCGCCCCUUUUGUGACCUCAUACAAAGGCUUGGCUAAUACUGCAAAGUUUGGGAUGCACAGUCUACAAAACCCCACAGCCCCUAAGAAUUUCCUCACCUUCCUUCCGCCCCUAGGCUCUGGUAGAUUGCAAAUGACCUGCUUACUUUCUGUUCCCGGGCUGCGUUCUGACACCUGUUGGACAGUAAAUCCCAAGUAAGGUACCUGCCUUCGGCAGAUUUGAGCUUUCUUCUUGGACACCUAUACCCACAGUCCUCCAGGAGGGUCCUAAGGUACAUAGGAUCCGCGAUGGGGGUCCUAAGCCAGAGCUGGAAGAGGGGCUGGCUCUCAGUCCCCGCCUCUCGGAGGGUGCCUCCCCCCCCCUGCAAUGGGGGUCCUAAGAGCCAGGGGAGAAGAGGGGAUGGCUGUCAGUCCCUCCCCCGUGGGGGUUGCCUCCCCUUCCUGCGAUGGUGGUCCUAAGAGCCAGGGGGGGAAGAGGGGCUGGCUCUUUUUUUCCCUUCAUCACGGGGGUUGCCUCCCCACCCUGCGAUGGGGUUCCCAAGAGCCAAGGGGGGAAGAGGGGCUGCCUCUCAGUCCCCGCCUCAUGGGAGGUGCCUCCCGCCCUGCGAUGGGGGUCCUGAGAGGCAAGGGGGUAAGAAGGGCUGGCUCUCACCCACCGCAAAAUGGGGGGCCUUUAUGUUCAGGUUUUGCCCAAGAGUCAGCUUAUUUGCGUCUUCUACUAGCAGGGUAGUUGCUGCCACUGCCCUCAAACAGGGGGGCCAUCCUUUAGAAAACCUGUCUAGUUGUUUAGAGACGUAGGCCACCGGCCUCAGCCAGGGCUCCACACUUUGGGUUAAAUGUCCAGCUGCCAUCUAUUUUCUCUCUGAUGCAUUCAAUGGAAAAGGCUUUGUCAGAUCGGUUAUCCCAGGGCUGCGGCUGCCGGAAGUUUUUCCUUUAACUCAUGAAAGACUUGCUGUUGUUGGGAUCCCCCUUCCAAAGGUUCCCGGUCCCCGCCCCCUUUGUGACCUCAUAAAAGGGCUUGGCUAAUACUGCAAAGUUUGGGAUGCACAGUCUACAAAACCCCACAGCUCCCAAGAAUUCCCUCACCUGCCUUCUGCCCUUAGGCUCCGGUAGAUUGCAAAUAACCUGCUUUCUUUCUGUUCCCGGGCUGAGUUCGGACCCCUGUCGGAGAGUAAAUCCCAAGUAAGGUACCUGCCGUCAGCAGAUUUGAGCUUUCUUCUUGGACACCUAAUACCCACAGUCCUCCAAGUGGGUCCUAAGGUUCUUAGGAUCCGCGAUGGGGGUCCUAAGCCAGGGUGGGACGAGGGGCUGGCUCUCAGUCCCCGCCUCACGGGGAGUGCCUCCCCCCACUGCGAUGGGGGUCCUAAGAGCCAGGGGGGAAGAGGGGCUGGCUCUCAGUCCCUUCCUCGCGGGGGGUGCCUCCCGCCUCUGCGAUGGGGCUCCUAAGAGCCAGGGGGGGAAGACGGGCUCGCUCUCAGUAGCCGCCUCGCGGGGGGUGCCUCCCGCCCUGCGAUGGGGGUCCCAAGAGCCAGGGGGGGAUGAGGGGCUGGCUCUCUGUACUCGCCUCUCGAUGGGUGCCUCCCCGCCUGCGAUUGGGGUCCUAAGAGCCAGGGGGUAAGAGGGCCUAGCUCUGAGUCCCUGCCUCUCGGGGGGGUGCCUCCCCACCCUGCGAUGGCGGUCCCAAGUGUCAGGGGGGGAAGAGGGGGUGGCUGUCACUCCUCGGCUCGUGGAGGCUGUCUCCCACCACUGCGAUGGGGGUUCUAAGAGCCAGGGGGGAAGAGGGGCUGGUUCUCAGUCCCUGCCUCAGUGGGGGUGCCUCCCCCUCUGCGAUGGGGGUCCUAAGAGCCAGCGGAGGAAGAGGGGCUGGCUCUCAGUUCCCGCCUUUUUUUUUUUUCUCAGUGUUUUAGACGCCCAGUUGCACAACUUGAUUGCCUUACAAAUGACCUGCUUCCAGGAUGCGGAAAUUCCUAAUUUCUUCUGUGACCCUUCUCAACUCCCCCAUCUUGCAUGUUGUGACACCUUCACCAAUAACAUAAUCAUGUAUUUCCCUGCUGUCAUAUUUGGUUUUCUUCCCAUCUCUGGGACCCUUUUCUCUUACUAUAAA